rnacentral:lncRNA from 1 species
GUAUUUUUUUAUACAAAGUUUUUUUUUUUUUUUGGGAGAGAUAGGUAGCACAUUACCUACCCGCUUCGUUUAUUUUAUUUAGAAAUAAAUUUAGUUGGAAAUGUGAAUCAACUAGGAUUCGAAUUUGAGUCUCGGGUACCAACCACCAAGCCCUUUGCCACUUACUUUAGGGACGGUCGGUUAUUUUUUUAUACAACGUUAAAUAAAAGAAUUGUCAAUAUAUUUGUAUAUACCAAUUCUUCAAUUCUUUUUCGCGCACAGGAGGAUUUACAAA